rnacentral:rRNA from 1 species
GACGAACGCUGGCGGCGUGCUUAACACAUGCAAGUCGAACGAUGAAGCCGGAGCUUGCUCUGGUGAAUUAGUGGCGAACGGGUGAGUAACACGUGAGUAACCUGCCCUUGACUCUGGGAUAACUGCGGGAAACUGUAGCUAAUACCGGAUACGAUCCUCGGAGGCAUCUCCUGGGGGUGGAAAGAAUUUCGGUCAAGGAUGGACUCGCGGCCUAUCAGCUAGUUGGUGAGGUAAAGGCUAACCAAGGCGACGACGGGUAGCCGGCCUGAGAGGGUGACCGGCCACACUGGGACUGAGACACGGCCCAGACUCCUACGGGAGGCAGCAGUGGGGAAUAUUGCACAAUGGGCGCAAGCCUGAUGCAGCAACGCCGCGUGAGGGAUGACGGCCUUCGGGUUGUAAACCUCUUUUAGCAGGGAAGAAGCGAAAGUGACGGUACCUGCAGAAAAAGCACCGGCUAACUACGUGCCAGCCGCCGCAGUAA